rnacentral:rRNA from 1 species
UACGUAGGGGGCAAGCGUUGUCCGGAUUUAUUGGGCGUAAAGAGCGUGUAGGCGGCCAUGCAGGUCAGCUGUGAAAACUCGAGGCUCAACCUCGAGAUGUCGGCGGAAACCACUUGGCUAGAGUCCGGAAGAGGAGAGUGGAAUUCCUGGUGUAGCGGUGAAAUGCGCAGAUAUCAGGAAGAACACCUAUGGAGAAGGCAGCUCUCUGGGACGGUACUGACGCUGAGACGCGAAAGCGUGGGGAGCGAACAGG